GUCGUAACAAGGUUUCUGUAGGUGAACCUGCAGAAGGAUCAUUAGUGAAGAUUUGGGCAGGCCAUACGGACGCCAAAAAGUGUCCCUGGCCGCCUACACCCACUAUACAUCCACAAACCCGUGUGCACUGUCUUGGAGAAAGGCUUCAGAGAAGUUUUUUGUGGCCUCUCUUGGGGUCUUUCUUCGCUACAAACUCGAAUGGUUAGUAUGAACGUGGAACUUGGUUGGACCGUCACUGGCCAACAAACUAUACACAACUUUCGACAACGGAUCUCUUGGUUCUCCCAUCGAUGAAGAACGCAGCGAAACGCGAUAGGUAAUGUGAAUUGCAGAAUUCCGUGAAUCAUCGAAUCUUUGAACGCACCUUGCGCUCUAUGGCAAUCCGUAGAGCAUGCCUGUUUGAGUGCCAUGAAAUCUCCCACCCCAAGCGGUUUUUAAAUGAAACGGCUUGGCGGAUGGGGUCUGGAUGGGUGCCUCUGCCUGCGCUACCUAGCACAGGCUCGCCCGAAAUGCAUGAGCGCCUUGAGACACUUUGCAUCCGCCUCUCUGUUUGGGAGGAGGCGGCCAAGCAGUGUUUUUCUCCUGGCAUGGCAUGAUACGUCAUUUGCUAUGUCGCCUAAAGGAGGAAUGUUUGGUUGUGUCUGCGUGUGCUUCGAACUUGCCUCUGUGGCACAUCCCAAUUUCACUUCUGGUCUCAAAUCAGGUAGGAUCACCCGCUGAACUUAAGCAUAUCAAUA
rnacentral:rRNA from 1 species